UCCUUUUAUUGUUGGGAAAAUAAUUUUUUGAGAAUUAUGUUUUGUUUUAGUUACUUCCAAAGGGAGGUAAGAGCGUUCAAAAACUAGUCAUGCAUUCUUUGGAAAGGUUCCUUCAGUUCGCAUGAAUAGCAUGAACAAAUGUUUCCCAAUGACAUGGCAAUGCUAAAAGGAUGCAACAGAAAAUGCCUUUGUGCACACAAAACUUUUUAUUGGACGCUGAAUAAAAUAGGAGGGUGCUGACAGAACAGUGAAAUAGGACAUUAGAUUGCACUCCAAUUAUAUGUUAUAUAUGUUUGUGCUAUCUCUUUGGUUUGAAUAGAACAUGUUUGUAUAGAACACGUUCAGACAGAACCUAUUUGUGUGCCAAUAGGUUCAGGCAGAGCAUACUGUACCUGUAUACUAGUAUGUUCAAAAUUUCAGAACUUUGAGAAAAGAGCUGUCAACAUCAUUUGCAGGAAACAUUGAUAUCAUGUUUCUCAUAAUACACAUUUUAGUUUGGGUUUUUACUGCCAAACUGGUUACCAUUAUAUCAAUAUUCAGAGCAAAUCAUUUUCAUCUUUCUAUCAAACAUCUGAAAUAUUUACUGAGGCUUAGUCGAUUCAACUGGAUAGCAAAAGAAGUCUUGUUAAAUGACUUUUAAUUUUAACUUAAUUCAUUUAUGGACUGUCACUGAGAUACUGCCCAUUUAUAUAACCAUAAAAUGCAAAGUUUAACUGUUAUCCUGAGUUUACAUAGAAGCUAGUAAAGUGUAACUUUUUGCCUGUCUUAUAAAUCAGUGUAAUUACAUAUUCAACUUUAAUUACUGGUGCGUCUGUAUUGGCAAGGUUUAUAUGUUAUAUUUUAUGCAAGACUACGAUUCCUAUUAAUAUUUAGCAGCUAACUAUAUCAUUAAUUACUCUAAAAUCUUUCCCCCACCAUCUUUUUAAUGCAGCUCAGAGAGUGGCAGUAUUAAAAAUUGAUGUAUUGUGGAUUUCAGAAAUGUGUAUGAAGCCUGAGAAAUGCCUGGCCUUAAUCGUGGGUGUCAAAUGUGGCAGAUUCUUGUUUAGUAAAUAGUAAAACACGUACCUUCGAGGUAUCAUUUCCCAGGUUAUUUAUAUAAUAAUUAGAGAUGUGAUAUCUAACUAGACAGAGAUAGAAGUUCGCUGUAGGACGAGUCUUUUUAAUAUACAAUUAUAUCCUUCGUUAGUGAUGGUAUCUUUGUAUUUCAAAUGUUGUACCCAGUCGGUUUUAUUAUUUAAUUUUCUCUUUCAUAUUUUCCAUAUUUAUUAUACAUGUAGUUCUGGAACGGUAAUUUCAAGUAGAGCAGUAUGCAUUUUUGUAUUAAAUUAUCAGAGAUGUGCAUUUCCUUUGCUUUUUUACAUUGGAAGAUUUUCUGUAUUUUACUCCUUGUUUUAUUUUUCUUGCAAGGCCAGUAUAUAUGUUAUCAGAGACAUUUAUGUCUUUAAGAUCAUACACUUAAUUGCUUUAUUUGCCAUUCAUUGUAUUACCUUAGGGGGUGAGAAACCUGUAUACACACACCAGUGAAUGUGAACAUUAAUGGGCUUUAGUGAGUUCCAAACCAUUACUUUUUUUUUCAAAAUGGAAAAAUUUGUCUUUUGGAAGUGUCUUUAGAUGUAUUUAAUAAUACAAAAGAAGUAGUAAAAUUGGAAGUAGAAAGAACAUGAAUAUAAGCUCCUGAGAGCAACAGUGCUCUAAAACAAGUAAAGUGAGCCAUCAGACAAAAGUUUUUAUAUCCCGUGCUGUAUGCUAUCAACCAUGCAUUGGGUAGCUGGAGGCCUUUUACUUUUAGCAGUUCUCCUGAGUAUGCUAAUGCUCUCUUUCUGUCUAAAAUGCCAAGACAAUAAAACUUUAAAGAGCAAACAAGAGUUAGAUCAUGUGUAUUAAAAACAGCAAUUUCUCCUAAACGAAUGGCAUUUUCUAUUUAGAAUUAUUUGGUAAUAGCGUAGUAGGUCUCUCUCUCACCUUCUCACUCUCCUACAUUUUCUAAGCAAUGCAUGCAGACGAUAUAUGGCAGGCACCACACAUACCAUUUAUAAUCAGUAUACAUUGCUUAGAUGCCACAAGACUCCUUUGUUUCUAAAAGAAAGCAUAUAGAUGUUUAUUAAUAAAACCUAUUGUUAAAUACACCAAUAAUUCCAGUUCAAAACUAAACAUCAGUAGGUGCAGCGAAAGCUGUACAUUAAAAAUUAUACCAGGGAUAGGUAAUGGUUCCAAAUGCUUACUGAACUAGAAAAUAACUGCCAUGCAGGACUGCAUUAACAGUACUUCCAUGCAGCACAACAGAACUCAUAAAACAUCAGUUUUUGAGUGAUACUCUACCAUUCUGACAUGUAGCCAUUAACUAAUGCAAGGAAGAUGGUCAAUUCAUAAUAUUACUUAUGGUGUGUUUGAUAGAGAACAAGAUCUUAUAGGAUUAAGACCACAUAAUUUUUGUCUUGUGUGGUAAAGAGGAGAGGUAGAAUACCAGCCAUUUAAGCAAACUACUUCAAUAACAUUUGGAUGGGAGAAAACAUGACAUGAAGUUAAAAGCAAUGAUCAUAGAGAUUACACAGUCCUUUCUUUUAUAAAUUCAUUUAUCAUGUGUCACAUGUACUCAGGCUCUGAAUCCUUUUGUUAAUGGUUGAACAACACAUGAAAUUGGAACUCUGUAAUUAGAAUUCCUAUUGAUUUUUGUUAUACAAAAAGCAACUGGCUUGCAUUUGAGUUAGAGCAUACAAGGGAGUGGGGAGGGGCAGUGAAACAGAUGUGGUUCCUCGCACCAGUCUCUUAAACUGAGGGACUGAGGACCUUUGCCACUUCUCAGCUAAUUCUGGAUUUUGUAUGUGAUCCCAUUGCCAACUUUUGAUCACCUUGGUGCUCAACUCACGAUGGUAGUUAAAAUAGACAGACCAAAUUGACAUCAACACACUUAAGCAAUGACCCAGGGAGAAGCGCAACAGAGUUAUUGUGACCCUGGAGAGGAAUAGGUGUGGUAGUCUUCAGGACAGACCCCUCAACCUUAAGGUCCUGCUUCUGAAUGCCAGAUCCGUCAAUGGUAAGACAGCUAUCAUCCAGGAUUUGAUCCUGGAUGAGGGGGCGGAUCUGGCAUGUAUUACCAAGACAUGGUUGGAUGAACCGGGUGGGGUGAAUCUCACCCAGCUGUGUCCACCGGGUUUCGGGGUCCAUCAGCAGGCCAGGGUUGAGGGGCGGGGAGGAGGAGUUGCGGUGAUCUUCCGGCAGUCCAUCGCCCUGAUCAGAUGCACCGUUCCACAAUCUAUGAGGUUUGAAUGUGUCCUGCUGAAGGUGGGAGCCCGAGACAGCUUGGGGAUUCUGUUGGUGUACCGUCCACCCCGCGACCCAGCAGUCUCCCUGUCUGAGCUAGCAGAAGUGGUCUCUAAUGCGGCCUUGGUCUCCCAACAACUCAUAGUUUUGGGAGACUUUAACAUCCAUGCCGAGACCACAUUAACAGGUGCAGCUCAGGAUUUCAUGGUUGCCAUGACGACCAUGGGGCUGACUCAAGUUAUAUCUAGGCCCACACAUCAGGUGGGACACACGUUGGACCUUGUCUUCAUUGUGGACGGUGGGACAGUCAGAGUGGAAGAACAAAACAUCCUUCCAUUGUCAUGGUCUGACCAUCAUCUGAUCUGUUUAAGUUUCGCCGUGUCUUCUAACCUCUGCAGGGGUGGUGGACCCAUUAAGAUGGUCCGCCCCAGGAGGCUGAUGGAUCCAGAUGGACUCCUGAGGUCUCUUGGGGAUCUUCCUGUUCUGGAGACUGGCGAUCCUGUCGAUGUCCUGGCUGAUCGCUAUAAUAGUGAGCUGGCUAGGGCACUUGCACGAUCGCUCCCGAACGUCCCCUCUCGCUGCGUAGAGUCACGUCAACCCCUUGGUUUACUGAGGAGCUGGCCGUGAUGAAGCGUACGAGGAGGGGACUAGAGUGCAUCUGGAGAAAAUCUCAGGAUGUGUCCGACCAAGCACGGGCUAAAGCCGCUAUUAAGGCUUACUCCGUGGCUCUGCGAGCAGCCAGGAAAGCUUUCACGACUGCCCGCAUAGCGUCUGCAGCCAAUAGGCCAUCGGAGUUGUUCCGAGUUGUUGGGGAGCUCCUGCGGCCUCCUGAGGCCCAGGAGCUUCCCGAUGACCUGGCGACUCGGUGUAGCGAUUUCGCACACCACUUUGCAGGCAAAGUUGCUCAGAUACGUCAUGAGUUGGACUCCAGCUUGACUGUGGUUUCAGCGGAGGUAACCGAGGCACCUGUCGGUUCGAUCUUAUGGGAUUCUUUCCGGCUUGUUCUUCCUGAUGACGUGGAGGGGAUUCUUGGGUCUGUGAGGGCGACCACUUGUGCUCUGGAUCCUUGUCCCUCUUGGCUGGUUAAACUGGCCAAAGAUGGGUUGUUGGAGUGGUUUGUGGCUAUAAUAAAUGCCUCCUUGGGUCAAGGGUCAUUUCCAUCCUGUUUUAAGCAAGCGGUGGUAAAACCGUUACUAAAAAAGACCUCGCUAGACCCAUCGGUUUGUGACAAUUACAGACCAAUCUCCAACCUCCCAUUUUUGGGCAAGGUUCUGGAGCGGGUGGUUGCCACGCAGCUCCAGGAGUUCCUCGAUGACACUGAUUUUCUGGACCGCUCGCAGUCUGGCUUCAGGCCUGGGCACAGUACUGAGACGGCUUUGGUCGCCUUGGUGGAUGACCUCCGUAGGGAGCUGGACAGGGGGAGUGUGAGCCUGCUGGUUCUCCUGGAUAUCUCAGCGGCUUUUGAUACCAUCGACCAUGGUAUCCUUCUGGGGAGGCUCUCCGGGAUGGGGCUCGGGGGCACGGUUCUGCUGUGGCUCCAGUCCUUCCUGGAGGGUCGUUCCCAGAUGGUGAAGCUGGGGGACACCUGCUCGGACCCCUGGCCAUUGACCUGUGGGGUUCCGCAGGGGUCUAUUUUAUCCCCCAUGCUAUUUAACAUCUACAUGAAACCGCUGGGAGAGGUCAUCCGGAGUUUUGGAGGGCGUUGCCAUCUCUACGCAGAUGACACGCAAAUCCACUAUUCCUUUCCACCUGACUCCAAGGAAGCCCCUCGGGUGCUGAACCAGUGCCUGGCCGCUGUGGCGGACUGGAUGAGGAGGAACAAGCUGAGGAUCAAUCCUGACAAGACAGAGGCCCUCCUGGUCAAUCGUGCGUCAGAUCGGGGUAUUGGGUGGCAACCUGUGCUGGACGGGGUUGCACUCCCCCUGAAACCACAGGUCCGCAGUUUGGGGGUCCUCCUGGAUUCAGCGUUGACGCUUGAAGCACAGGUGUCGGCGGUGGCUGGGAGGGCUUUCGCACAACUCAAACUUGUGCGCCAACUGCGACCAUACCUCGUGAAGUCUGAUUUGACCACGGUGGUCCAUGCCUUAGUUGCCUCUAGACUGGACUACUGUAAUGCGCUCUACGUGGGGCUUCCCUUGAAGACGGCCCGGAAAUUACAAUUGGUCCAACGCUCGGCAGCCAGAUUAAUAACGGGGGCGAGUUACAGGGAGAGAUCCACUCCCCUGUUUAAGGAGCUCCACUGGCUGCCGUUUAUUUUCCGGUCCCAAUUCAAGGUGCAGACUAUCAUCUAUAAAGCCCUAAACGGUUUGGGACCCACCUACCUCCGUGACCGUAUUUCCUUUCAUAAACCUGCCCGAUCUUUAUGAUCAUCCGGGGAGGCCCUUUUAUCACCACUGUCUUUAUCCCAGGCCCGCCUUGUGAGUACAAGGGAGAGGGCCUUUUCUGCUGUGGCCCCUCGAUUGUGGAACUCACUGCCUACUGAAAUUAGGCAAGCUCCCACGCUGUUAGCUUUUAGGAAAGACUUGAAAACAUGGCUCUUCCGCUGUGCCUUUGGUGAGUAACUUCUGUUAUUUCUGUGUUACUCCCACCCCGAACAUCUAUCCUCUAGAUUACCCCACUUCCAUAUGUCCCUGCCCACAGUGGAGUACCCCUAUGUCCCUCUCACCCCAGGUUUUAUCUCUGUGUUCACGUGGCCUGCCCUUGUUUUACUGUUUUUUUAUUUCUUGAUGUUGAUGCAUUUAUUGUAUUUUUAAUGGUGCUAUGUUAUGUUGUUUUAUAUUUUGUUAUAUUGUAUUACUCUGGGCAUGGCCCCAUGUUAGCCGCCCCGAGUCCCCGUUGGGGAGAUGGUGGCGGGGUAUAAAUAAAGUUUUAUUAUUAUUAUUAUUAUUAUUAUUAUUAUUAUUAUUAAGUCUUGGGAUCUCAAGAUAUUUAUAUGAGAUUUGAGCAGGCUCUUCUGUUACUCUUUUACAAUAGACAGACAUAUGUACAUAUCCAUUCCCCUUUGGGUGUUUAGUUUCCAUGUGUGUAACAAUACAUUUCAUGUAAGGUAUCAUUCAUAUUACAUUAUAGGCUAUGACUAGUUGAAUCUUACACUUUCAUAAAGACUUCCAUAAGAAUUGAACCUUGAUCUCUCUGCAUUUUUAAUAGGCUUGGUCAUAAUUAACACAUGUCAGAACAUCAUUCUAAACAAGUGGUUCUCAACCUGUGGGUCCCCAGAUGUUUUGGACUUCAACUCCAGAAAUCCUAACAGCUGGUAAACUGGCUGGGAUUUCUGGGAGUUGUAGGCCAAAACACCUGGGGACCCACAAGUUGAGAACCACUGUUUUAAACAAUGUGACAUAGUUUUUAUCCAUCGUAAAAUCAUCAUAUUCUUUCAUAAUUCCAUAGUUUCUGAGAGUACUUGCUAAAGUAUUCAUUUCCUAAAAGCUUUUACGUGCACACAAUCCUACCCCUUAUAUCAAAUACAUAAUCCUAUUAGUAAUAUAACUUGGCCAAUUAUCCAUGACUAAAAUACUUUCUUAUCUCUUUCCAUUGAAGGGUUAAUUUCCUUGAGCAUAUUUAAAACUUAACAGUAUCCAUUAUAAUAAAUAACGUCAUGGACAUCAAUUUUAUACCUUCUGUACCAGUUUCUCAAUAUGUUUCAGCAGUAUGUCUGGGCCAAUUGAUCUAUCAGGUUAUUAGGAACACUCAUUACUGUUUAUUAAACUCACCAUAACACAAUCUGGACUUCUUUGUUUCAUCUCCUUAUUACCAAACAACUUGUCCAUUACACAAUGGAAAUAUACACUAGCUCUUAGGCAAUUGAAAUAGAGAUUUGAGGUAAGGUAGGUGUCAUCUGGGAGCCUCCAGUGGCUCAGUGUGUUAAAGCGCUGAGCUGCUGAACUUGCAGACCGAAAGGUCCCAGGUUAAAAUCCGGGGAGUGGAGUGAGUGCCCACUGUUAGCUCCAGCUUCUGCCAACUUAGCAGUUCGAAAACAUGCAAAUGUGAGUAGAUCAAUAGGUACUGCUCUGGCAGGAAGGUAACGGUGUUCCAUGCAGUCAUGCUAGCCACAUGACCUUGGAGGUGUCUACGGACAAUGCCGGCUCUUCGGCUUUGAAAUGGAGAUGAGCACCAACCCCCAGAGUCGGACAUGACUGGACUUAACAUCAGGGAAAACCUUUACCUUUUAGGUGUCCUCAUUACACUUCCCUCCCAGCUAGGCUACAUAUCAUGGUUUGUCUCUUCUCCAAAAUGUACUGUUGUCCCCUCUUUGAGUGUAUGUGUUUUCUGAGCACAAUUGUACAGGUGUUUGGCUUAACCAUUUACAUUUCAGAGUAAUUGGCAUCAUUCCCAGAUUGACAUGAAAAGUGUUGCUGCUUUGCCACUGAUGCUGGCACACACUCACAGUUCUAAUUGCCUGCAUUAAAUCUUAUGCCUUGUCUCUGAGUCACAUGGGAGCCCUCAUGCCUGCUUUUUGUAAAAUAGCAAGACUCUGGAAGUUCCUGUCAUGGGACUUCUAUGAGCAGACCUAUUCCCUGUAGGUAAAUCUUGGAAAUUUGUUCUUUAUGUAAUGGAGCAAGUUGGACUGAAAUUUACCUUCAGGUCACUGGACUAUAACCUGAUGAUUAUCUCAAUAUCAGAACACAGUUUGUUCCUGAAAUCUCAAGAUGCAUAGAAGCCAGAUUUCAUAGGCAGAUGAUUUGUGGAGCAGCUCCUAUGUGAAUUGGGAAAAUCCCAACCACAUUUUGCUGAUAUGGUAAAAUUGCUAUCUGAUACUGCUUUCCCCAGUUGUGUGUUGUUUAUUUUGUGUGGGACAAAAUGUUCUCUGCCCCUGCACAGUUUUUAUUCAUCACAUGUUCGUCCUCAGUCUUUGUCAAAAUUGCCGGAUCAGAAGCACUAUGAAGGAUAUCAUGAGAUCAAAUGUUAUUAUGUAGUACCAUUUUCUGUGUGAUGGAGGAGCACUAAAGAGUUUAUUGAGGCAACAGAUAUAAUUUAACUCUUCUUUGAACUCCCUGAAUCUCUAUUCUAUUCUCUAGUGUGUUUCCCUUUCUCCCAUUUCUCUGAUGCCUGAUCCCACAGACUUAGACCUUAUUCAUGCUUUUCUAAUGCAGUGGAUAAUCUGUUCCCCUGGUACGUUCCUACACUACUCAGACAAUAUCCACAGAGAGUAAUCAUGUGGGUUCACCAAGAAAAUUUAGGUGGUUUUUUUCGAGCCUCAAUGGACCAACAAUGUCCAGGUACCUGGCUGAAAAAAGUGUACUAAUAUAACAUCUAAAAUAAUACUGUCUUUGAAAAAUUAAAAUGAAAAUAUUUGCUAGUUCUAUUAUUGCAUGUGAAAAGAAAUCACUUCCGUCUCCCAACUGGAUGUAAUUAAGUGAUUUUUCUACAUUUCAAUUUUUUUCACAUUGAAAUUUUUUUGUGAAAAUUUUACAAAUAUAUUUUUGUGCAAAACAGUUUGCACAAAGCAAUGGUUUUGCACAAAAAUCUUUUAGAAAAACAACAACCAUUUAAUGAACUAGAAUUUUUCUCUCUGAUAUUUGGCCCAGAAAUCUCAGAGUGAUUGACAUCAGCCUUCCUUGUGAAGAACUAGGAAAAUUGUUAGUAUUCUUUAGAUCUGUAGAAAAAUAAAAAUGAGACAUUGGUGUAAACGUAAUUCUUUUCCCCAACUAAAAUGGAAGCACUAAAUUAAUUGGAACACUUUAUAUCAGCACUUAUGUAAGUUCCAUUAAAUGAACUGGUCUACUCUAGUUGAGACUAGCAAUUGCAGAUGUGCUGUUAUUUUUGAAAUAGUUGGGCACAUGGGUUUGUAUUUAAGAUAUAAUCAAGGAUUUUAUCUCAUGAAGAUGACAAAUUGGCAUUGAAAAUGCUGUGUGCACAACUCAUUGCCAGUCUGCCCCCUCCCCAUAAGAAACUCAUCCCCUUCUGUUUAUGAGAAAAGCCCAUCAAUAGCCCCAGAUCAUGCCAUAGUCCCAGCACAUUCUUUAUGUAAUAUAACUAAUCUUCUUCUUUGCCAACAUGCUGGCACAGAAGUGACAUCAGGGGGGUGGGAUUAUCCAUCCCCCUUGCUGAAAUUGCGAAGUUUUUAUUUAAAAAUAAUAUUUAGAACUUAUGGAGCAGCUGAACUAUGUGAGGGUGUAACUCCACUAACAUGCAGUACAGCUAUAGGACAAUAUAUUGGCCUAUCAUCCCUGUUGAGUAACCAUGGAGAGGUGCUAUACCAGGGGUAAUCAUUCCAGUAAGUUGCCACUAUCUGUGAUCCAAUGAUAAGAUCCCAAAUGGUUUUGCCAUUUGUAACUUUAUAAGAUCAAUUUCUUCCAUAUUGUGAUAUCCAUCCUUGAGCUUUCCGAUAUUUCUAACCCAGUUGUAGCAAGCAUUAUGGAGAAGGCUUUCAGGACCUUUAUUUCCUAAUAUUAAUGAUUCUUUGUGUAUAACUGCUUGUCUUCCCCAUUUGAUAUGUCUUUUCUUUACAUUAGAUCAAGCAGUUUGCAUGGGGACAAGUGCAUUUUACCGUUGAGCUAAAAAGGAAGUUGAAACACAGGCAAUCGUGUUAUAUUCAAGAUAGGUUGUUUAUCCAAUUGAGUUCAGUAUAUUUGACUGACUGGCAGGAGCGCUCUGCUGUCUUUCAUGUCAGCUUUAAGGAAUUACAAAAGGACUGGGUCAGAUGUGCUACUUGAGCAUAAAAGGUUGACAUACAUUUGAAAAUGAAUGGAUUAUUAUAGAGCAUAUAUGAAACGAGAGCAUAUACCAAGGACCUAAGGGUGAGAAAUGAUUGCUACGGUGCCAGAUGGAGGCAGUAGAUUCUGACACAUAGUCUUAAAAUGCUGCCAUGUGUUCACCGAGGGUCUUGUUUGGUUGUGAGCAAGCUAUGAGGUUUGUAACAUCCUGCUUUCUGCCCAAGCAAGCAGCAACAUGAAGCAGAGAAACUGUGUUGCAGCAUCUAAAACUGUCUUCACUGAAAUCUGUUUACAGAGGACUGGCUAAAUUCAAACACUCAAUCCAUGUCAAGGAAGAGCCAGUGAUCGCUGAGGAUGAAGACUGUCCAAUGUCAUUGGUGACAACAGCAAAUCACAGUCCAGAAUUGGAAGAUGAUAGAGAAAUUGAAGAGGAGCCUUUA